CGCCCGCAGCCCUUGCCCCUCCACGCAGAGUGGGGUGGCUGGCGCCCAGCAGAGCGGCCCUGGAGGCGCCCAGCAGAGCGGUCCUGGAGGCCGUCGCAGAGCAUGUCCCAGCCCCGCUGAGGCUGAGUGGGGGCCGGCUGAGACACCGCGCAGGAUGAAAGAAAAAAAGAGCGACUUGGACGAUGAGCAGAGAUGUCCAGCAUCAGAUCUUGACCAGAAAGUUGGACAAGUGGGACCUUCCCUUCGCGGACAGUAGAGGAGCGAGUUGAUUACAUUGUUGCUUCUGGUCAGACCAAAGUACAGAACAGCUGCGAAGGAGAACUUGCUUUUUAACUGGAAGCGCACCGGGACUAUCAGAACCAGGACAGUGGACGAAGCUGGACACAGGGUCUCUUGUCCACGCAGCCCAGGUCAGCAGGAUGAAAGAGCCUGUCCUGGUUUCAGCUCGCAGGGACGGAGAAAGGCGUUUGCGGUUGCCUGGCCGGGGUGAUGGCUGCUGUUUUCUGCCCGUGCCCUCCCCGGUUCUGUAGCCUCGUUCCACUUAACACGUCCAUUGUCCCAUUUGUUAUUAUCAACCAAAAU